AUGGGCCUGCUGGGGUAUUGUGUGGUGGUGAUUCGAUGAAUAUUCAUCCAGAUUCAUCGAAUCACCAACACACAUUCAGUGAAUGUUUUCGAAAAUGAAAAAUAUGUCAUUCAAAAGUGGCUAAAUACAACUAAACAUACAUUCGUUACCGAUAUAGAUAUCAAUUUUUUGUCGGGAAUAUCAACUGUCCGGAUUUACGAAUUCUUUUUCCACUGACAGCUAUAGAUUUCGGUUGAGCGAAAUUAUCAGCCUCUACGGGAAGCAGAACUUUUGAUUAAUAUUCUUGUUCAAAUUGGAUUAAGACUAAGAGACGUUAAUUUUGGGAUACUCAAAACAUGAAAAAUACCAAGAUUUAAAGGCUGAAUUUACCAUGUGGAAAAAGACAAUCCAAUUAUGGUGUGAUUGUUGGAGAAAUAAAGAGAAGAGGCAAAUAAUUGGUCUUAGCUGGAUGACCCAGGACGAUUGAAAAACAGCUAAUCAUUAUGUAUACAACCAUGUCAUUUGUUCUAACUGGAUUCUUUGUCUGUCACAAAGAAAGCAGCAUUGAAUCUCGUUUGUGCAGAGGAGAAUGGUCAACUAUCCUAAAUACAACCAAAAUUUCACCUCUGUAACCAAGAAAAUUCUCUCUCAAGAAUAUACCUUUUGCUCAGUAAUCAUAAUGGGACCGCAAAAAGAAGCGACAAGAGCAAAAUGUGAUCAGCUAUCGAGUCGAUCACAUCAUUUGUUCUAACUGGAUUCUCUGUCUGUUACAAACAAAGCAGCAUUGGCUCCCGUUGGUGCAGAGGAUGUGGGUCUUUCAUCGUAAAUGCAGUCGAGGAAGUCUUGUCAAACACCCCAUAGGGAUAAUAAUGUCUUCAUAGAGUUGAGUGUUGAUAAUGCAGGAUGAUCUGAGAAAUGUAGUGAUGGACGAUGGAAACCGACCAAACCAUUUUCUAAGCAGAUCGAAGGAUGUCGCUCUUUGCCAACACAGUUCCUCAACAUUAGGCCCUGAAUCUGUCACAGGCACGUAAAGAUAUCCCAAAUCAGAGUCAACAGAUCAAUCAUAAAUCAUCAAAACAUACAGAAAACACACGUAAAACCUGAACUUGAAAGAGUGAAAUGUGUAAAGUUGUAAGGUUGUGUGUAUCAUCAAGUAUGUAUAAAGACCACAUAUCGGUACUCUAAUUUUAUCUUGGCCUGAUCUAUCACUAUGAUUUUGAUAUCUUGACGUACCCUUGCCACAUCCGAGGCCUGCUGCUCCACGCACCGUGGACAAUCCACAAUAGUUAUGAAACCACACAAGGCAUCCACUACCAAACGUCACAGAAUUUAGUGAUAGAUGAAACAUUGCAGCAUGUAGUGAUAGUGGGAUGCAUUAUUUUGUAUCCUAGGAAUUUGUAGCAAAUAUCCCUAAUAAAAAUAAAUAAAUCAUA